UUUACAAUUCUCAUGAUCUCUUUCUCUUCCUCCACUCUUCUCUCAUUCUUUCUUUUUCCAUACUACUAUUUUGUCUUCUCUAAAUAUCUUAUCUGUUUUUCUUUCUUUCUUCAUUAUUUUUUCUCCAAUUUUUUUUACUCCUUCCUCAUUGUUUCUUCUACAAUCUAAAUACAUAUAAACACAUUGUUAACUCUAUUUUUUCUCCUUCAUCUUCUUAAUAUUUGUUGUUCUUUUCAUGUUCUAGAUCCACCAAAGACGGAAACAAGUAGUAAAUCAACCUCAAAAACAAGAAACAGGUUGAUAAUUUUAAAUCAGGUCAUGGAUCUACCAAAGACGGAAACGAGAAAUAAAACAAUAUUGAAAAACAAGAAACAAGUAAAUAAUUUUAAAUCAGAUAUGUUUUUAUUUUUUAUUUUUUAAUGUUUAGGGUUUAGAUCUAUAAGUAUAUUUUCUAUUCAAAUCUGUAAUUUUAAAACAACAUCGGAAACAAGUAUAUUUAUUUUUUAUCGGAUUUGUAAUUUUAAAACAACAUCAAACACAAGUAUGUAAUUAUUUUAAUUGUGGCUUGGUUUGCUUCUAUCGAAAUUAUAAAGAAAAAAAUUAAUGUAUACUUAUUUUCUCA